GUGGGGAAUUUUGGACAAUGGGCGCAAGCCUGAUCCAGCAAUGCCGCGUGCAGGAAGAAGGCCUUCGGGUUGUAAACUGCUUUUGUACGGAACGAAACGGUCCGGGUUAAUACCCUGGGCUAAUGACGGUACCGUAAGAAUAAGCACCGGCUAACUACGUGCCAGCAGCCGCGGUAAUACGUAGGGUGCAAGCGUUAAUCGGAAUUACUGGGCGUAAAGCGUGCGCAGGCGGUUUUGUAAGACAGGCGUGAAAUCCCCGGGCUCAACCUGGGAAUUGCGCUUGUGACUGCAAGGCUGGAGUGCGGGAGAGGGGGAUGGAAUUCCGCGUGUAGCAGUGAAAUGCGUAGAUAUGCGGAGGAACACCGAUGGCGAAGGCAAUCCCCUGGGCCUGCACUGACGCUCAUGCACGAAAGCGUGGGGAGCAAACAGGAUUAGAAACCCGAGUAGUCC
rnacentral:rRNA from 1 species